rnacentral:rRNA from 1 species
UACAGAGGUCCCAAGCGUUGUUCGGAUUCAUUGGGCGUAAAGGGUGCGUAGGCGGCGCGGUAAGUCGGGUGUGAAAUCUCGGGGCUUAACUCCGAAACUGCAUUCGAUACUGCCGUGCUUGAGGACUGGAGAGGAGACUGGAAUUACGGUGUAGCGGUGAAAUGCGCAGAUAUCAGGAGGAACACCGGUGGCGAAGGCGGGUCUCUGGGCCGAUACUGACGCUGAGGAGCGAAAGCGUGGGGAGCGAACAGG